rnacentral:lncRNA from 1 species
AUGGCCUCUCUUUAUAUGGCAUGAAGGCAAUCAAUAUGGGGCCUGUUGGAAUGAUAUGUGCCAGCUGGGAUUUCUGCCUCAUCACACUGCCAGAGAGAAGAGUGUGAAGCCCGCUUGGAGAAGAGGAGGAGGCUGAAAAGAAGGCAAAGAGUGAAGAUAGAGAAACAAGAUGGAAGUGGGGGAGAAAAACAGGGAUGAGAGAAUGCCAUGGUGGUGCUGAGAAGGAAAGGAGAGACUUUUCUGCUUGUAAAGGGCAGAAGAUGGCAGAAUCCAGUGACGCAGGGGCAUCUGGCUCCAGAAAUAAUAGGUCACUUGGCACCCACUUCUUCAAAACAGAGCAGGAGAAGAUCAGAGAAAUCUGCUACAAAACCAAGGAGGUGAGGGAGAAGAGGACCAAAUACUGACCUAGCACAUGCUCACUCUUCUCACAGGAUCAAGGCCAUCAAGCUACAGAUGGUCUUACAAAUGGAACCCCAAAUGAGCUCAACUAACAACUUCUACCAAGGACCCCUGGACUGACCUGCUGGCCCUUUCACUGGCCUAAAGAGUUCCCCUCUGGAGGACA